AAUUGAAUACACAACGAUUUAGGGUUAUGAAUAUAAAACGGCUGAUGUAAAAUGAAGAAAACCCUCCUUCGUCCCUAUUCUCGCACUCUUUUCUCUCAUCUGCCGGCUGCGGCCACCGCACAUCGCUCCUGCUUAAAGGAACUGUCCAGCAUCACCUUGAAUGUCAUCUUCGGCAACACUAUCAUAACAGAAUAUCUAUAAGUAUAACUUAUUCUUAAGUUUUAGAGGCGAAUACAGUAGUCUUCAUGAACAAUGAAGGUUUUUGGUUCAUAUCUUUGUUGUUGAAAUUAUAAACACGAAGCACUAGAAAGACUAAAAACAAUUUUAAUGGAAGAAACUCAUGAAUCUGCUCAAGUAAACGAUAACAGGAGCAAAAAUCAAUGAAUCCGUUACAUAUUUACUGAAAAGUUGGAAGAAAGAUCAUGCAAUAAAAGCACUUGAAAGUUGUGGAUUUCAUGUUUCAAAUGGUUUAAGAGUUCUUGAGCAAAAAUCUUUAAUAGUUGAUUAUGAUCGUUGGUUACUAAAAACAUUUCAAACAAUAAUCAUGUUGCACUUUUACUAUGUAAUUUAAUUGUUGUGGUUAAGAUUUUGGAAUUUAUAGUUGUAAGGGAUCAAAAUGGAAUUAAACAAACUUGAAAAUUUGUAGUUGUAAGGGAUCAAAAUGGAAUUGAAUGGGUGAUAUGAGUUAAUAGUU